rnacentral:lncRNA from 1 species
CAGAAUUUUCUGCAACACCCUAGAAUUCAUGGCUGCAUCCAUAAUCUUGCGAAGACGUAUUGAGAGGUUUAAGGUUAACCAAUCAUAUUAACUUAAAUUUCAACGGGUAUUCCUCAUUGGUCUGCACAAGUAAUAAAGCCUCCAAUGGCUUUUGCUUUGGGAGGAGCUUUGUAACAAUAGGCGGUCGCCAAAGUCGGUGUCUCCUCAUUGGAGUAUGGUAUGUUCCAGGGCUCGACCCUCCCGUGGAACAGAGACAGACACUGCGGUCGGUCCCAGUGCUGCUUCUCCACAGUCAUGAUACCAGCACCUGUUUUGAACUGAACUGAAACCAGCAUUCAUAAUGGAGGAUUCCCAGAGAGACAUCUUCAGGUUUCCUUCGCUGGUCAAAGCAAAGAGAAACAACGAUGCAAAACCAACAUUCCUUUCACCUGAUGUCGGAUAAACAUAACUGCAACCAAAUCAACAAAUGGAAAAGAAACAAGUAUCUUCUGUAUAUUUUAAUUCCCUGAAUCAUGUAUCUUCUACUCUGAUAGAUAUUGAUCUGUGGAUUUAGUUAAGAUAAUGACACAUAUGGGGUCUUCUUCUUCUUGUCUGUUAAUGUAAUUGAUAACCUGUAGGUAUACUUGGGACUCUAAGCCUUGAUGAUGCGUAUUUUUUGGGAUAACCAUUAAAUGACAUAAAGCAGCUCAAGACAGACCCAGCAGACUUGAGUUACAGCAGUGACUGUACCACUUGUCCGUGUUUACAAACUCCACAGGUGGCCUCCCAGGCCUAAAACCUUGCAGCAGCAUGUCUUCCACUUGUCCACUGUACACAACCAAAUGGCUGGUUCCUUCUCUUUCCAUUUACACACACUCUUGACAGGAUUUUACUGAGGCUGAGAGUCCCCAUUAUCCAGUUUAAUAACUAAACGCUUGGUAGAUUUCAUUCAGUUCUUUUUGUUCUUGUUAGUGUUCUUGCUUUUUUAUUUUUAUUUUGCUUGUAUAAAUUCAUAUGGUAGACAUGUAUGUUGUGAUGUAUAGAAAUAGCUGUAGAAAUGCAUUGUUUCCUUGUGGUAAGUGACUGAGAUGCUGCCACGGAUUUGAGACACUGAUAAAUGGUGCUAUUUUGGAAUUUUAUCUGCUCCUUGGUAAGGUAGCUCAGAUGGGUUUUAUUUACAUUUUUCAUGUUCUAAGAAGGUAUUGGUUCUUUGUUGUCUGGUUGUUGUAACUUGGUCUGGAUUGACUUAUUUUUCUGCCGUUUUCUGUGUGGCUUUCUUAUUGGGUGUAAGAUAAUAAUUAAAUAAAAAUGCAAAAGGCAGAUGGCUCUUAAGAAUA